CUGAAUGCCGACUGAAGACGUGCCUUUCUCUUCUCAGUUUUGUUUCUUUUCAGGCGUUUCAAGCUUGAAACUAAUAAAGACAUGAUGGAGCUCCAGCCUCCUGCUCCUCCUGCCAAGCACAGCCCGUCCCUCCGUCAUCAGCAUGGGUUACUGAGGCAACAGCUGAUCCAGAGAAGUCAAGAUCUGUAAAGCUGUGCGCCUUCAUCACUCACUUCCCCUCAUCCCCUGUAUGUCUGUGCUGGACACCCAGCAGUGACACGAUGCUGGCAUCCUUCCUUGAGCACCUUCAGCAGGCGUGUUGUCGCCUGCCUCAAAGGUCAGCCUGUUUGAACUGAGCUCUGUGGGAGGUGCCCUCCUGUGCUGCACAUGAAAGCUGACAAAGGAACCCUUUUUUGUUCUGACCGGGAGCAAAUGGUGACCCUCUCCUGUGCGCCUUGUGUGGAGCAUCUUGUGAUCAAGCCAUCAGUUUGUUGUGAGGCAGUUCAAAAACAGAUGAAAGCAGCAAAAAUAUAAAAGAGACUCACAGAAAAUGGUGUUAUGUAUGAGAUUUGUGCCUCAUGAUUUUCUUUGGAACAUUUGUCACUGCUCGUGUUACUUUUGCAUACUUUUCUUAUCCACCUGAGAUCAGAGAAACUAUCACUCAUGUUGUCCUUUCGUCGCUGAAUGAGGCCAAAGGCAAAGCUCACCAUGUGUAAGCAUCACCUCACCUGUGUGCUGUGUAGCCACAACAAGCCUGGCUGUUUGGAGCAAAAACAGUUGCACUCGCACUGCGCCUGUGUUUACCUGUAAACAUCACAGACAUCGGGGGUGACGGGGACCAGUCGUCGAGUCUGAAUACACAUGGAGCCAUAAAGUUACAGUUACUGUGCUACAAUUACUGAGUUUUUUCCUUCUUAGGAGAUGGACCUGAAAUCUUUAGUACAGCUCCUGUAGAUCCUUGAAAAAUCUUGAAAGGUCUUGAAUUGGUAUUUGGAAAUUUAAGGCCUUAAAAAACUUAUUUGUACCAGUGAGAGGUCUUAAAUUUUAAGAGGCACUUUGACAAAAGCAUGUCUUUGUCCAGUCCUCAUUUACUAGCCAGUUCAUUUGUUUUUUUUUUUAUCAUUUUUUGUGCAUGUUUGUGUGACAACAGCAUUUACAGCAGCGCAGCUUGUACAAAGCCUAUCUGUAUUAACUGUUCAUAAUCAGCUUUGCACACCUGUCUUAUGAUAAAUAUUACUUUACAAUGUAAUGAUUGAACAGAGGCAUUAAAUAUGCCAGAAAAUCAAUUUAGGACAAAAAUGUCUAUGUCUGACAUUUCUUACACUUUGCAUUUUAUCAGAAAUUUCAGCCCUUGUCCUGUAUACAGACAAAUCUCUUAUGCCUUUCAUUUUUGACUAUUGUCCCCUGCAAAAAGUGGAAUGAAUUUUUCUCAGUUCAGGUCAUAAAAAGUCUUAGAUUGGAUUUUAAAAGUGUGUAGAAACCCUGCUUUUAACAAUUUAGAGCAGCCUCAGUGUUUUUCACUGAGCUGAAGUGGUUCAAAUCACAAGUUUACCAAUGUGAGAAUUUUUUGGUGAGAAGGUAAUAAUCACAAGACUAAGAGCAGAUGCAAAUGAUAACAAUGUUCCUGCAGAAGGGCUAGAAAUAAACAUGCUGACACAAGGGUUAUCAGAAAUGCCAGCAGCAGCAGCCGUGCAAUUAUCCUUUUUAACACAAUGAACGUUUGAAAUUCAACACAUUUCUUUUAAUGACAUUGGCUUUUUUGUGUUAUUUCUUGGUGUUAUGUGAUGAUAAAGGGCAAAUAAAAACAUGGAUCAACAGCUACAUUAUUGGACAGUUAUUGUCAUUUUUGCACAGAUAUUCACACUGUCGUUUACAUAGAGGGGCAAUUUAUGGUUUUUUUUGGUCAAAGAGAAA